GAAAAAGUUAUACAGGUUAUAGGGUUGGCUUGAAACCAGUUUUAGGAGGUUCGAUUCCUUCCUUUUUCG
rfam:Chlorocebus sabaeus isolate 1994-021 chromosome 14, whole genome shotgun sequence.